GUCCAGACUCCUACGGGAGGCAGCAGUGGGGGAUAUUGCACAAUGGGGGAAACCCUGAUGCAGCGACGCCGCGUGAGCGAUGAAGUAUUUCGGUAUGUAAAGCUCUCUCAGCAGGGAAGAAGAUGACGGUACCUGACUAAGAAGCCCUGGCUAACUACGUGCCAGCAGCCGCGGUAAUACGUAGGGGGCAAGCGUUAUCCGGAUUUACUGGGUGUAAGGGGAGCGUAGACGGCAGUGCAAGUCCGGAGUGAAAGCCCGGGGCUCAACCCUGGGACUGCUCUGGAAACUGUAAAGCUGGAGUGCGGGAGGGGCAGGCGGAAUUCCUGGUGUAGCGGUGAAAUGCGUAGAUAUCAGGAGGAACACCGGCGGCGAAGGCGGCCUGCUGGACCGUAACUGACGUUGAGGCUCGAAAGCGUGGGGAGCAAACAGGAUUAGAUACCCCGGUAA
rnacentral:rRNA from 1 species